rnacentral:rRNA from 50 species
UUGACCUCGGAUCAGGUAGGGAUACCCGCUGAACUUAAGCAUAUCAAUAAGC